GGAGAUUGCAGUAAUGUACAGCUUAUCGAGAGUCAGAGACCUUUUGGAUUUUAUCCUCAAGAUGCAAGCAGGGACCAGGAAGCACACAGGCCCUGGUUCUGCCUUUCCCAUUCAAUGGCGCCUGGAACCUGAUACGACACGCC